GAUGAACGCUGGCGGCGUGCCUAGUACAUGCAAGUCGAGCGAACGGACGAGAAGCUUGCUUCUCUGAUGUUAGCGGCGGACGGGUGAGUAACACGUGGAUAACCUACCUAUAAGACUGGGAUAACUUCGGGAAACCGGAGCUAAUACCGGAUAAUAUUUUGAACCGCAUGGUUCAAAAGUGAAAGACGGUCUUGCUGUCACUUAUAGAUGGAUCCGCGCUGCAUUAGCUAGUUGGUAAGGUAACGGCUUACCAAGGCAACGAUGCAUAGCCGACCUGAGAGGGUGAUCGGCCACACUGGAACUGAGACACGGUCCAGACUCCUACGGGAGGCAGCAGUAGGGAAUCUUCCGCAAUGGGCGAAAGCCUGACGGAGCAACGCCGCGUGAGUGAUGAAGGUCUUCGGAUCGUAAAACUCUGUUAUUAGGGAAGAACAUAUGUGUAAGUAACUGUGCACAUCUUGACGGUACCUAAUCAGAAAGCCACGGCUAACUACGUGCCAGCAGCCGCGGUAAUACGUAGGUGGCAAGCGUUAUCCGGAAUUAUUGGGCGUAAAGCGCGCGUAGGCGGUUUUUUAAGUCUGAUGUGAAAGCCCACGGCUCAACCGUGGAGGGUCAUUGGAAACUGGAAAACUUGAGUGCAGAAGAGGAAAGUGGAAUUCCAUGUGUAGCGGUGAAAUGCGCAGAGAUAUGGAGGAACACCAGUGGCGAAGGCGACUUUCUGGUCUGUAACUGACGCUGAUGUGCGAAAGCGUGGGGAUCAAACAGGAUUAGAUACCCUGGUAGUCCACGCCGUAAACGAUGAGUGCUAAGUGUUAGGGGGUUUCCGCCCCUUAGUGCUGCAGCUAACGCAUUAAGCACUCCGCCUGGGGAGUACGACCGCAAGGUUGAAACUCAAAGGAAUUGACGGGGACCCGCACAAGCGGUGGAGCAUGUGGUUUAAUUCGAAGCAACGCGAAGAACCUUACCAAAUCUUGACAUCCUUUGACAACUCUAGAGAUAGAGCUUUCCCCUUCGGGGGACAAAGUGACAGGUGGUGCAUGGUUGUCGUCAGCUCGUGUCGUGAGAUGUUGGGUUAAGUCCCGCAACGAGCGCAACCCUUAAGCUUAGUUGCCAUCAUUAAGUUGGGCACUCUAAGUUGACUGCCGGUGAUAAACCGGAGGAAGGUGGGGAUGACGUCAAAUCAUCAUGCCCCUUAUGAUUUGGGCUACACACGUGCUACAAUGGACAAUACAAAGGGCAGCGAAACCGCGAGGUCAAGCAAAUCCCAUAAAGUUGUUCUCAGUUCGGAUUGUAGUCUGCAACUCGACUACAUGAAGCUGGAAUCGCUAGUAAUCGUAGAUCAGCAUGCUACGGUGAAUACGUUCCCGGGUCU
rnacentral:rRNA from 1 species